AACCAGUGCAUUUUUAUAUUGUUUAUGUUCAACGUUAGAUCAUUGUCUUAUAAAAAAAUUAUGAUCAAUAUUUUUGUUGUUAUUAUAUGAUAAACAUGGAUAGUAUUUUAUACGUGACUAUUUUUAAAUUUUUUAAAAAAAUUUUUAAAUAAGAUGAACGGUCAAACGUUUGAUAUGAAAAUCCACAAAUACAAUUAGA
rnacentral:pre_miRNA from 1 species